rnacentral:rRNA from 1 species
UAGGGAAUCUUCCGCAAUGGGCGAAAGCUUGACGGAGCAACGCCGCGUGAGUGAUGAAGGUCUUCGGAUCGUAAAACUCUGUUAUUAGGGAAGAACAAAUGUGUAAGUAACUAUGCACGUCUUGACGGUACCUAAUCAGAAAGCCACGGCUAACUACGUGCCAGCAGCCGCGGUAAUACGUAGGUGGCAAGCGUUAUCCGGAAUUAUUGGGCGUAAAGCGCGCGUAGGCGGUUUUUUAAGUCUGAUGUGAAAGCCCACGGCUCAACCGUGGAGGGUCAUUGGGAACUGGAAAACUUGAGUGCAGAAGAGGGAGGUGGAAUUCCAUGUGUAGCGGUGAAAUGCGCAGAGAUAUGGAGGAACACCAGUGGCGAAGGCGACUUUCUGGUCUGUAACUGACGCUGAUGUGCGAAAGCGUGGGGAUCAAACAGG